GCGGAGCGGAGCCCUGUGGGGCAGUCAGCUUCAGAUUAUGUAAGGUGCCCCUUACCUCUCCCCCCCCACACACACACACACAUUUUCACCCAGAUUGGGGAGUAACACUCUGCAGAUGAAUUUUUGAACUCUGAGGCUAGACUUUUGGGUUGUUGGAUUUUUUGGACUUUGGAUGAUUUUUGGGUUGCUGGACGCAAGAGAUGUUUGGGUUGUUGGACUCAAGAACCUGAGGG